rnacentral:misc_RNA from 1 species
UUCAAGUAUUUCAACUGCUUCCAAUGCAUCGGUUGAUGUGGCCUCAGAAUCACGUUCUGGUUUGUUAGCUUCUUCAGCUGAUGUGAUCUCUCCACAGAGUUCAGAAUCCUCUAAAAGGUCUAAGGAGUUCAAGCUCAAUCCAGGAGCAAAAAUUUUUUGCCCAUCUUUUGCAACUCCAAUGUCAGCCACUGCCUCAGUGCCAGCAGUUGCAAGCAUGCCUUACAUACCAAGCAACUCUCCCAUGGUACCUAUUGCUGCUGCUGCUCAGCCAGAAGUUGGAAUCA